rnacentral:rRNA from 1 species
UACAGAGGGUGCAAGCGUUGUUCGGAAUUAUUGGGCGUAAAGGGCGCGUAGGCGGCUGAGCAAGUCGAAUGUGAAAUCCCUGGGCUUAACCCAGGAAGUGCAUUUGAUACUGCUCAACUUGAGUCCCGGAGAGGGUGGUGGAAUUCCCAGUGUAGAGGUGAAAUUCGUAGAUAUUGGGAGGAACACCGGUGGCGAAGGCGACCACCUGGACGGAGACUGACGCUGAGGCGCGAAAGCGUGGGGAGCAAACAGG